AUCUCUUGAGUAUGAUUAGUGCAGUUGCCUUCCAAGCAAAAAGAUUAGGUAUAACUUAAAAGAGAUA
rnacentral:tRNA from 1 species